AAAAACCAAAAAGAAUACAAUUAUCACUUGCCGGUCUCCAUUCUCUAGAACAUUCCUAAAACCCUAAAACCUCUCUUAACUUUCUCUGCCACCACCAUCACCAUCAUCGCUAGCACCCAGUCAUGGCUCUACAAGCAAUUCGCUUCCGUCGAGCACUCACUUCACUCUCAACUCUCCAACGCACACUAAUCAACCCCACUUCCCCUCAUUUUCCUCUGCCGCAAAAUCCUACCACACCGUCCAUACAAUCGCCGCCAUCCUUUUUCUCUAUUCUCCAAACACGGCUGUUCAGGGGAUCAGAAACAUGUCUAUCCUCUCAGAAAAAGAAAGAGUAUAGGGUUUACAAAGAGGGAGAUGAGAUAACGGAAGAUAUGGUACUUUUCGAGGGUUGUGAUUUUAAUCAUUGGUUGAUUACUGUUGAUUUUCCUAAAGAUCCUGCGCCAACUCCUGAAGAAAUGGUUGCUACCUAUGAGCGAAUAUGCGCUGAGGGACUUAAAAUUAGUAUUGAGGAGGCGAAGAAAAAAAUAUAUGCUUGUAGCACCACUACUUAUCAAGGCUUUCAGGCUGUGAUGACAGAAGAGGAGUCUGAACGCUUUAAAGAUGUACCCGGGGUUGUAUUUGUGCUACCGGAUUCUUAUAUUGAUCCUCAAAACAAGCAGUAUGGAGGAGACCUGUACGAAAAUGGGGUAAUAACACCGAGACCACCGCCAAUUCAGUAUAAGAGGGGGGGAGGUAGAUUCAAGAGGAAUUCUGAACAACCAAGAUAUGACCAGCAAGGAGGUGGGAUGCCAAAUCAACGUUGGAGUCCCCAAUACAAUCAACAAGGUCCACCACGGCAAAAUUAUGGACCUCCACAGCAAAAUUAUCCACCACAGCAAAAUUAUGGACCUCCACAGCAAAAUUAUCCACCACAGCAAAAUUAUGGACCUCCACAAAAUUUUCCACCACAGCAAAAUUAUGGAUCUCCUCAAAAUUAUCCACCACAGCAGAAUUAUGGUCCUCCAGGACAAGGGGAAAGAAUGCCAAUGAACAGUGGGAAUCAUCAGGCAAAUAGAGGAGGUCCACAUCAGGGAAAUUAUAAUCAGGGGCAGCAGGGAAAUCAGUAUCCCCAAGAUCAAAGCGGCUUCCCGCAAGGAGGUCAGAGGGAUUUUAGGGGAGAUAACCGGAAUUUUUCACCUUCACAUGCUGAAACAUGUGGACAGGGCACAAAUGCUGGCUAUGGACAGGGCUAUCCUGGUGAAGGACCAAGGUUCUCACAAAUGGAGCAGAGGAACAUCCAAGGAGAGCAAGCAAAUUAUACACCAAUGGGACAAACCAGGCAGUGGUCAGAAGUUUCUCCACCCUUGAAGAAGUUUACACAAAAUUUUUUUUUGGGAGACAUGAUGAAGUGAAAUUCAUUAAUGAGAUGAGACAGAUACAUCAGAGAAAAGGAUUUUGGCCAAUGUCGGGGAAGAUUUUAGGAGGUGAGUCCAUCUGCCCAAGGCAAUGGAAAGUGGGGACUUGUAAAUCACUUUUAUCAUACACUUGAUCAGGCUUCUGAACAAGGGAGGAUACAAUGUAGAACCUUUUUGUAUUACCUUUCUGUUCUUACUAACUGAUUAGUACUAGGAGAGUAGGAUUAAACUUUUCCCAUUUGAUGUGAGUUGUUACCAGUUUGUGGGGGACUGCAUAUGUAUUAUGAACUUGGCAUGAGAGUGCUCUUUGGUUUUCCUAAUUUCUUUUCUUGAUUCAUCAAUUAUAUUAAUAAUUUAUAGUGAAA